CGACCAUCUCUUCCACCUUCGCACAUCCAAACAAAAGCAGCAGUAAGAAUCGCCCAGUCCUUUGUAGACUUUGGUGCAUGCUGUCACCCAAUAAGCAGCACGACAAAGGCGCAGCAGCAGAAGCGGAAAUCUAUGAGCCACCUCGUCACACCCUGACGUUGUCGGAACGAGCCAGACCGCCUCCCGAGCUGGAACGAGUCUUCAACUACUUGGACGAGAACGGCGACGGAAAGAUCUCCCCCGCCGAGCUGCAAAAAUGCAUGAGGGCCGCAGGGGAGGAGAUAUCACCUGAGGACGCCCGGUCCGCGGUGGAGUCGAGCGACUCCGACGGCGAUGGGUUGCUGGGAAUGGAGGAUUUUGUGAAGCUGGUGGAGCCGGAGGGGGAGGAGGAGAAGGGGAGGAACCUGAGGGAUGCCUUCGGGAUGUAUGCAACGGAAGGGCAGGGAUGCAUCACCCCCUCGAGCCUCCGUCGAAUGCUCAAACGCCUAGGCGAGUCGAGGUCCGUCGAGGAGUGCGCCAGGAUGAUUCAAACCUUUGACCUCAAUAACGAUGGCGUGCUCAGCUUCGACGAAUUCAAGAUCAUGAUGCUUUGAUUCUUGAUCCGACCUUAAAUACUGACGACUGCUCUCCUACGUGUGCAUCGCACUCAUUCUUCUGUUUAUUUAUAUAUAUAUNNNNNNNNNNNNNNNNNNNNGGGGGGGGGGGGGCGAAUUAAUACAACAGAAAAUUAAGUUCUUCAACUUAAGAUCAAACAAAAAUAUAGUUGAAGUAAAGCAACGGAAGCAGUUUAUAGUCCCAUUAGUCCCACAUCGGAAGUGACUCGAGCCUGAUAGGCUAACUAGUCUAUCAACUUCGUUUGGUCUAAACCACUGAUCAAAAUACUUAAGCUGAAGUUAACUUUCGAUGUGGGACUAAUCACCCAGAUCGAACCCUAGCAUAGUGUAGUGGUGACUCCGUCUACGGGUAGUCCUUUCCUACUCGAGCCCCCUCACCAGUAGUCCUUUCCUACUCGAGCCCCCUCACCAUGCCUAAAUGCUAGGUCGGCUCUGAUACCAAAUAUCAGGACCCGAGCCUGAUGGGCUAACUAGCUUAUCAACUUCGUUUGGUCUAAACCACUGACCAAAAUGCUUAAGCUAAAGUUUAUAGUAGUACACUCAUCAGACCCUUAUAAGCCAAUCUUAAUCUUACCCACUUUCAAAGACCCUUAUAAGCCAAUCUUAAUCUUACCCACUUUCAAUGUGGGACUAAUCAAGGGUAAUACAAUCACCCCCACUCAAAUGCUUGACGUCCUCGUCAAGGCCCAACAUAACCCAGAACGAACCCUAGGCCAGUGGUGGCUCCACGUUGUGACGAGUCCUCUGACUCCGUCUACGGGUAGCCCUUUCUUACUCGAGCCCCCUCACUAUGCCCAAAUGCUAGGUCGGCUUUGAUACCAAAUAUUAGGACCCAAGCCUGAUGGGCUAAUUGACCUAUCAACUUUGUUUGGUCUAAACCACUGACCAAAAUGCUUAAGCUGAAGUUUAUAAUAAUACACUCAUCAGACCCUUAUAAGCCAAUCUUAAUCUUACCCACUUUCAAUGUGGGACUAAUCAAGGGUAUUACAAUCGGCCAGGAAAUCUGGGUCCGAAUGGGCUGAUCCAUUCGGCCCAAUUUGGGUCUGUCAAGGGCCUAAUUGGCCCCAGAUUAAGUUAAUGGGAUCACCUCCCAUUCCUAACUUAAUCUUCAUGCUAACUAUGACAUUUAAGACAUUAAUACUACAAUUUGUGUUCCAGUGCGUCAAUCGCUUCUUCCGACGAGCUUCCGGCGAACAUCCGAUGAACCCUCGGUGAUGCUUCGGUAGACUUCCGACAAACUCCUGGACUUGCGACGACCCACUUGGCGAGUUCCGACGAGCUUCUUUGGUAAGCUCCUAGACUUCUCGAAUUUGUUCCCGUAGAACCUCCGAUGAUCGUUUGGACUUCCGUCGAACUCUCGAACUACCAACGUGAUCUUUGUCUUAACUUCGGUUCAACACCUACUGCAUGUCUUACUGCCAUCGUAGUUAAUCCUGCACAUGUAAAACAAACUUUGAUCUAGAUAAUUAAUACUAGGCAUUAAUCAAGUUGUCCGGCAUGUCAUUGGUCCCUCGACGCUUCGUCUGAUUCUUCAGCGCAUCGUCCUCUCCUACGACCUAUUGCCCAAUCGGCCAGUUGACUCCGCAACUCCAAUAUCCUUAGUGCAAUGUCCACUCUUCUUGGCCUGAUGCCCGAAUCCACGGCCCGAAGUCUUCUGGCGAUACGUCAACCGAUCCACCGGCCCGACGUCCAAUCUUCUAACAUGUUCCUCCGGCCCAACAUUAUUUUUCCUGCUUAAAUUGUCUCAUUUUGAUCGAAGCAUCUUGCGUCAUUCAAAAUACAGAUUAAAACAUAAACACAAUUAUCAAUUGGUUUCAUCAUCAAAAUAUGAGAUUCAACAAUCUCCCCCUUUUUUAUGAUGACAACCAAUUGAUGACGGAGUUAAACUUAACUCCCAGAGUUUAAACAAACUCCCCCUAUCAAUAUGGCUUAUUAAUAGAAACUCUUGGAUUCAAAAAUCUAAGCAACAUGUCAUGAUCAAAUCAUGCAUGUCAUCAACAUACUUCUCCCCCUUUAUCAUCAACAAAAAGGAGAAGUUCCAACUCUUAUAUGUUUGUGAUAUUAAUUCAACUUAUUGUAUGAAAAAUAUAAUAUCAAGUUUUAUCAUCAUGCAGUUCUGAAGUUAGAAAAUUUAGCAAGUGUUGCAUCAUGCUUAGAAUAUUCAAGCUAUCAAGUUUUAGAUAUGCAAGUUUUACAACAUACAAGAUAUCACUUUUUGUAAUUUUUGUUUCUUAAGAUGUUCAAGAUAGCAAGAUCUUUCUUCUCUUUUGAGAAGUACCAUUUUUUACUUCUUUGCAAAGUGUAAGUUAGCAUGUUUUGCAUUUGGAGAUAGGCAAGAUAGCAUAUUUGGUAUGCAAAUUUAUAGUAUGCAAGCUAUUAAAUUUUACACAUAAAAAGUUAGUAAAAUUUUACAUCUCUUGCCUCUUUUUGAAAUGUGUAACUUAGCAAACAUUGCUUCUCUUGAGAUUUGCAAUAUAACAUUUCUUCCUUCCUUUUUGAGAUUAGCAAGCUAGCAAGUUUGCUCCCCCAUGUCAUUGUCAAAUAGAAGGGAAUAACAAUACAAUAGUGUAGAGUGACCCUCUUGGUUGUCAAAAAGAGCCAUUUCUCUUGGGUGUUAAUCAAACUGAGAAAUAACAAGGCUCUGAUACUAAUUGUUAUGAUCAAAAGCACUAAGAGGGGGUGGGGGGGGGGGGGGGUGGUGAAUUAGUGCAGCGGAAAACUUUUUUUGGUUUAAAACGACGUUUGUAUGAUGAAAGCAUUUUCGAUGAAAACCAUUUCGGAAAGUUCUUCAACUUAAGAUCAAACAAAAGUAUAGUUGAAGUAAAGCAACAGAGGCAAUUUGCAGUUAAGAUAGAGAGCAGAAUGUAAUUGCAAACCGAGAUUUAGAGUGGUUCGGUCAAUCUUGACCUACAUCCACUUUUGGCUUCCUCCUCCGAUGAGGUUACCGACGUCCACUAGAGGCCUUUCUUCAAUAGGCGAAGGCCAACCACCCUUUUACAGCUUUACUCCUUUUGACAGGCUUAGGAGAUAACCCUUAUAGAUUUUCACUCAUCUCUUGAAUGAUCAAAUCUUAGAAGAAAAGAGGGAGAAGAACUUCUAGCCUUUUAUAAUAUUUUUAAGCUCUUCAAUUCUCAGAAUAAAUGUAAGCUUUCGGUGUCCUUUCAUGUGGAAAAGGGUGGGGUUUAUAUAGGCCCCAAUUGAUUUGAAUUUGGAGCUCAAAAGUGUCAUCUCCCGGAUUUUCGGGGUCCUAGUGGUACCACCGCCAGAACUAGGCGGUACUACCGCUUGACACUGCUCGAAAAUCGAGCUUAGGCAGUACCACCGCCUAACAAGAGUGGUACCACCGCUUGACUUCGCUCGGAGACCAAGCUCAGGUGGUACCACCGCUUGACUUCGCUCGGAGAUUGAGCUUCUAGGCGGUGCCAUCGUCGGCCAAGAAAUCUGGGUCCGAAUGGGCUGAUUCAUUCGGCCCAAUUUGGGUCUAUCAAGGGCCCAAUUGGCCCCAGAUUUAGUUAAUGGGAUCACCUCCCAUUUCUAACUUAACCUUUAUGCUAAUUACGACAUUUAAGAUAUUAAUACUGUAACUUGUGUUCCGGUGCGUCAAUCGCUUCUUCCGACGAGCUUCCGGUGAACUUCCGACGAACAUCCGACGAACCCUCGGGGAUGCUCCGGGGGACUUCUGGCAAACUCUUGGACUUGCGACAAUCUACUUGGUGAGUUCCGACGAGCUUCUUUGGCAAGCUCAUAGACUUCUCGGAUUUGUUCUCGCAGAAUCUCCGACGACCGUCCAAACUUCCAUCGAACUCUCGAACUCCCAAUAUGAUCUUUGUCUUGACUCCAGCUCAACUCCUGCUGCAUGUCUUACUACCAUCAUAGUUAAUCUACAUAUGUAAAAUAAACUUCGAUCUAGACAAUUAAUACUAAGCAUUAAUCAAGUUGUCUGGCAUGUCAUUGGUCCCUCGACGCUUCGUUCGAUUCUUCGACGCAUCGUCCUCUCCUGCGGCCUAUUGGCCAUUUGACUCCGUAACUCCGAUAUCCUUGGCACGAUAUCCGCUCUUCUUGGCCCGAUGCCCGAAUCCAUGGUCCAAAGCCUUCUGUCGAUACGUCGACCGAUCCACCAGCCCGACGUCCAAUCUUCUGACAUGUUCCUCUGGCCCAACAUGAUUUUUCCUGCUUUAAUUGUCUCAUUCUAAACAAAGCAUCCUGUUUCACUCAAAAUGCAGAUUAAAACAUAAAUACAAUUAUCAAUUGGUUUCAUCAUCAAAAUAUGAGAUUCUACAGUAAUAAGAUUAUAUCAUAUUUAUAGUGAUUAUUUGGAAACAUUUUAAAUAUUAUACACAGCGAUGUAAUCCUUGUAUCCUAGUUAUUUUUUUAUAAUUAUUGCUAGGAUUUUGGGCAAGAUAAUCUAAGAUUUAUAUAUUCAUUAUUUUUAUAGUAGAUUUUUUUUUUUUUGUCCCGUGAUUUUUACCCUUCAUGUUGAAGAGGUCUUUCAUGUAAAUCUUGGUGUCUUAUUUUAUUAUAAUUUUUAUUUAAUUUUACUACAUGUUAUAGUCUACUUAUAUUUGUUCAUAUACAAAGUUCUCUUUUUAUCCUAUCAAGUCUCAAUCUAAGUCACUAUUUACAAAAUGUAAAAUAUGCAAGACUAAGUCGAAACAUUUCCAACAAAUACCUCUUCGAUGAUUAAUUUUUGGGUUUGAUAUGAUCGAACUAGUCGAUCAAUACUGAAAUAAAAUUGUGUUUGAGAGAAUACUUAAGAUUUGUUUUAUAAGUGACUAGUUUGAACAGAAUCGUUAAGUUUGAACAGAAUCGUUAAGGGCUAAAUGGAACUGAAACCAUUUCGAACACACCUAAUCAAACUUAUUUCAAAAUAGGUUAAUCCAAUUUAGAUAAUUAAUUUUUAAUUUUAAGUAAUUUAUAAAAUUCAAAUGAAUAGGUAUGGUUCGAUGAACUAGUUCAAUUUAAUUGAACUAAACUAGGAUUUUGAUCUAAUUAGACUGAUAUUCUAAAAAAAUUGUAUCAUUCCAAACAUUCUCAAAAAAAUAUUAGAUGUGAAAAGGAAAAAAAAUCAACAAUAAGACAUCAUAAAGACAACUUCAAGCAAUAACCUUUAAGAAUAGAAUAUUGAGAGUAUAUUAGUUCAAUUUUUGAGAUCUUUGGGCUUACUUGAUAUUUUUAAAAUUAAAAUCGAUUUGAUUCGAUCCAAACCAGUUAAUUGAACCAAAGAAGUGUACCCUCUGAAACCAAAACUAUUUGAAGACUCUAAAAUCGAACUAGUUUGAAAUUGGUUUGACUUAGGUUUGGUUUGAUUUUUUGGUUCGACUUAGUUAUGAGGGGGAUGUGUAGCAUUUCGAGCAAAGACAUGGCACUAUGUUCAUCGAACCUAGCGCUUGCAAAAACUAGAUGUGCCGGUCAAUGGGUUUAGACAAUUGACUAUUUAGCCACAUAUCAACCUGUUGUGAGCAGGUGUCACACAAUUUGAUCAUCACCUGUUGGCUGUGUGUGAUCCCCAUGGCCUUCGGUAGUUAGCUUGUUGACCACGUGUCACUAUAUGAUGACGUCAUGUCUAAUAUAUCACUCUUCACCUAUCAUUAGCUCCUCUACUUUUAUGUCAUUAGAUCAUAGGGCUAUUGAGCCAAGAAGCAUUUUGGCUUGCAUUAUUGACUUUGAUAGUAGGUCUAUUCAUUAGCCUUUGGACCAUGUGUUAUCAAAAUGUAUGUUUAGCCUAUAGAUUAUAUAUCAUUGAAAUGCAAAUUUGACAUGUAAGUUGUGUUGUUAAAAUGCACAUUCGACAUAUAGGUUGUGCAUCAUCAAAAUACACAAUCAACCAAUUGAUUGUGCAUUGUCGAAAUACAUAUUCGGCCCGUAGAUUAUUCAACUAUGCGAUCAGCCAUUCGACUUAACUUGAUCGUGUGUACCUACAUGCAUCACAUUUGCCUCGAUCCUUAGUGAGCACGUUGAUUCAACCACAUACCAAAUGUAUCCAAAUCUAAUCUCUAUUGAUUUGUUUGACAUGAAGGUGAUGUGGCGCUCAUCGAGGCAUCCACAUAUAAGUUGUAUAUGCGAUCGAAGAUUUGGAAGAUCACAAUGAUUAUAACACUCAGCCUCACCUAAUGGCAUGUCACGAUAUAGCUUAUCAACUAAAGCGAUGGGCGGUGAGGCAAUUAGAGAAAAGGCCACUCGAGCACUACAUAUAGCCCUUGACAACAUUCAUCCUCUUCAUGCCUUCUGCCAUUCUUGGUAUAGUGCUUGAGUCUCAUGCACAUUGAAUUACAACUAGUUUGUCAAUAGAAAUAAAAAUAAUAUGUAUAUAUUACUCUUAUUUAAUGAUAUGAUUUGUGAUGUAUAUGCUUCAUAGAUAUGAUAAAUGACAUACUCCUGUUUUUUGCUUUUAAAGUUGAAGUACAUACUUCCCAAAAUAUAUUAUUCAUAAUUUUCAUAUUUUUCAUUGAGCAUACAAAAGCAUCAUGUUUUUGUAGCAAGAAGACAUGGUACUUCGGCGUAACAGGAUAAAGUGUGUUAGUAGGCCUAAAUAUGAGGUUAAGUUAUACUAAUAAGUAUUAUAUAGUUACUAGAAAUGACGGUUGAAUUUUAAUCGACCUUCAGUAAAUCUCAAGGCUUGAAUGAGUUUGACUAUGAUUAGAGUAGAGAAGUUUGAGUUUUAAACAUUAUAUAUAUAGAGGAUAAUAAGCUACCUAGGCAUGGAUAGAAUAAUAAAAGAUAAAUAUAAAUAUAAAUCAAAGAAGAGUGUUAUAUAAAAAUGUUGAGAUACAUAAGUAAAAUAGAAGGAUGAGUUUAGACCAAAAAAUCUUUGUUAAACCAAAUUAAACUUAAUUGAAGUUGUUACAACUUUAUAAUUAUAUUUAAAAAAAACUUAAAAUAAGAUCCAAUGAGAUUGAAACCUAGACCUAUAAUCUCUUAAGUACUUUUAUCUUAUUUUAGUCUCAUCCUCUUAACCAACUUAAUAACCCAUGAUGCUUUCUCUCUUACUUUAGUUAUUCUCUUAGCUUUUCUCACGAAGGCUAGGAAACCCUAGCUCUAAGGAAGGUAGAGAUAAUAAAAACUCAAUUAUUCGCUUGCUAUAUCUAAGAUUUUGGUUUUAUAAAAUAUAAACUGAUUUUUUCAAUUGCUUUUCAGUAACCUCAACUUCAAAUUUAUAUUUAAUUUUUGGAUAUGUUUUCUAUAAAUCUCUUAUGUAUCCAAGACAUCUAGUAUGACUUUAAUAUGAGAUCAAUGUAUAGAGUUAUGAGUGUCAUAAUCUUAGGUAUACAAAAUCUCUUAUUUCUGAGAAAGAGUUCUAUUAGAGCUGAAUUAAACUCUCUUAGAGAUAUGAUUAGGCUCUAACCUUUUGAUAUAUUUUAAAUGAUUCCCUUAAAGUUCUAUAAGAUUUAAAAUUGAGUGAAUACCACCUCUAUAUAGUAUGAUAUAACGUUUUAAAAUUCCCAACAUAGUUUUAAUAGAACAAAAAAGGUGUUGGUAGUUAAAUUAAAAGGCUAGUUUAGCCUCUAAUGAUUUUAUUCUAAGCUAAAAAUUAGUGUGUAUUUAUUUCUAUAUAUCUCCUAGUUUUCUACAAAAUUUCAUAAUAAUUCAAUAUUGUUUAGUUAGCUAAAAUAGCGACAUGAAUUUUUUUUAUAGCAUUGCGCAAUUGUUUAAGUGAUAUUAACUAGUUCAUUUGAUUAUAGAGUAUAAAAAAUUAUGGUAGAAUUUAGAUAAAUUUUUAGGUUGAGUCCAGUCUAUUUUAUUAGGGAUUUUAUUAAAAAAUUUCUAUAAAUUAUUAUAAAUCAAUAAUUUAAGAGGUAGGGUUCUUAAUUAGAGCAUCUCAUGACUCUAUACUCUCAAUUUGAUAGGUGUACCACUCUCUAAUAUGCUCGAUCAUUAAGAAACAUGAUCUAUCACUAGUAUCUUUAUUUUUAUGUUAAAUCAUAUAUAUAUAAGUUUAAUUCACUAUAAAAUGAUGAUCAUAUAAAUUAUUGUAUUCAUAAGAUAUCUUGAAAAGUAUGUUUCGAAUGAUAUAAUUAUCAUGAGCUGGCCAUAAGAGAUAUAUGAAUCUAUAUAUUUUGUAUAUAUAAAAAUAUAUAAAUUAUGAUAAAAAUAUAUUAUAUAUAUGCAUACAUAAUAAAGUAUUAUGUGGGAGUACAUGUGUUUUCUAUGAUGCGCGGUGUGGGAGUGCACAUCGUAAGUAUUAUGACAUAUGGUGUAGGAGUGCAUAUAUGUUUUAUGACAUGCGGUGUGGGAGUGUAUGUAUAUAUUAUUAUGUGUGGUAUGGGAGUGCAAAUAUAUAGUACAAUGAUGUGUAGUGUGGGAAUACAUAUGUUUUACCUAUUUAAUUUGUAUAUGCUAUGUUAUAGGGUUAUGCUUACUAAGGAAGUCAUAGGAUAAGGGGUUUACCGUUAAAUAUUUUUUACUGAUGAUUUUGAAAUAUUAUAUAAAUGACAUAAUAUAUGCUUACAUAAAUAAAACUAUAAAGACUUAUACUUAUUAAGUGAUUACUCAUUAUAGCUCUUAUUUUACAAGUAAACAUACUAGCACCCAAUCAAGUGAUUAGGCCAGAAAGUGAGCACGUGCGAGCCCAUGAUAGAACAGAUAUGAGCGAUGACCUAUGGGCAUUUAUAUAUAUAACUUUUAGACAUGUUGUGUAUUUGUGUUUUUCUUUCGGUUAAGGAUUAUAAUUAUAUAUAGGUGUCAAAAUCAAUAUGUAUAGAGGGAAUCUUAUCAUUUUAUUUAGUAAAUUAAUAUGUUUUAAUUUUAAGAUUACUUAUACUCCUAUUGAUAGUAGUAAAAGAAUUGGAACGUGGCAUCAUACUUCAGUUAUGCAUGUAGGAUAUGGGUGGAAUUAGAAGUUGGGUGUUACACUCGAAGCCUUCAGACAUUCAGUCAUUCAGACCCUCAUAUGCUGGAGCCUUUUUGGUUGUCCAACUCUUCACACUUAAAAUCCAAAUGUCAUUCUCUUUAGGGUCAUCCCCCAGUUUCAAGCAUGAGUCGGGCAACUCUCUGGUCCUGUCGUUGCCUUUGGUGUUGGUUUCAGAUGCUUUCUUCUCUAGUAAAGGGGUUGGAAUUACCAUGACAAGGGAAGGCAACCCCCUUGGGGGUGAGUCUCUCAAGUAGUCAUAUCUCAUAGAUCGCAUCAAGGUCCUAUAAUUUCAACUCUUGGACCUCUAAGGCUGAUUUUGAGCACAUUAGAGAAGCUUUUAAUAUUUCUAUUGAGUUUAAGCUAAUCGCUCCUCAGCCUACUGACUAACUUUAUGCAUCACGUUAUUACUUUUGUACCUCCCUUGAUGCCUUAGAAGUGGAGCUCAAAUUCCCCCUCGAUCCUUUCUUUAUUGAAAUUCUUAAUUUUUUAAAGUUUUCUCCUACCCAGGUGGCUCCAAACUCCUGGCAUUAUCUCAUUACUUUUGUCGAAGAGUGUUGGAGGCUUGUCAUUUUUCCAUCACUAACCCUUCUAUUAGCUUACUUCAACCUAAGCCCCUCUCCUCGAGGUCAAUAUCUGAAUAUGCCCCUCUUGUUCUUCUUAUUGAGUUCAUUCUAACAUGUGUCUCUUGUGUAGGAAUGGAUCUCCAUGAAAAUAUCUUCCAAGCUAUUGAGGCUUUCGAGGUCCCCCAACAGUAAGGGAGGAAACAUAUGGCCAAUAGGCCUUUGCCAACCUAACGGGCCAAGGCUAUCACCCAUAGCCAUAGAAGGGAUGAGCCCUCACCCGAAAUGCAUGAAGCGGUUCGUGCCAUCAUCAAUAGUCGGAACCAAAUGAUUAUAGUCGAGGCAUGGCCCUACAAAUGCUUGGUGGUUGUAGUGCUACCACCUCCACUACCCUUAUAGAGUUAACACCAAAGGAGUGUUAAGGCCCCCUCGUCCUCUUAAGCAACUAAGAGCUCCCGUAAGAGUGGGAGUCAGGAUGGACAACAUAGUUCGACUAUAAUGUCGGGUGACCAAUCAAUUGCCACCCAAUCCCCAUGACUAGGCAAGCUAAGCCUGGUCAAUGUGUUCAACUUGUGCCCCAUUGACUAGUUGACCUACUAGUGCAAAAUGGUGGCCAGGUAGUCAAAAGGGGGGGAGGGAUCUUCCCAAGUCAACUUGGCCGUGAUGGAUGCCAGUCGGGAUUGGGAUAUGCCCCAAGAGGCCAUGAUAUGAAACCAUGACAUACUCCUCUUGAGGCUGAACAAGGGGUUCUACAUGAGGCCUUACGAGGACCUCAUACCUGACGCUCACAAGUCCAUCAUCAUGGUAAGUUCUACUCUCAUGGUUCGGUUGACUUAUCGAUACCUUUGAGAUUUUUGCUAACUUCUUCCAUUUUGCAACAAGGACACCACUUAAUGGUGGCAUUGAUUGACUAAGUUAGGGAUUCCUUGGCUACCCUAGCCCGAGUGCUGAAGGAUAGGGAUGACUUGACGGUGAAGGAAGUCGAGAGGGAUUCCAUGGCCAUCAAGUCAUAGUAGCUUUGAAUCAAGAAGAUGGACUUGGAGAGGGAGUUAAUGAUGGUGCAACAUCACUCGAUAGACUUGGUGAGUUAGCUAGAUAUUGUCAAACAGUCUGAUGCAUAGAUGAUUGUCCUCUGUGUAGAGAACACUAGCCUAUAGCAACUGGUGGAGGUGCUCCUAAAGCAACUCCGGGUGGAGGAGGCAUGGAGGUCUAAGCAUGAGGCUAGGAGGGUGACCAAAUAUAAGGCAUCGAAGGGCUUUGAGAAGGGUUUGACCCGACUCUCCUUCAACACUUAGCACUUUGGCUAUCAACUCAUAAUAUCCCGAAGACGCUACAACUGCCUUGGUGUCACACUCCUAAAGGCCCUCAAUAACAAGUGCUUGACCGAUGGCAAGGUGGUCUUCGUCGAAUUAGAUGACAUCGAUGACCACAGCAAGUCUACCUCGCAUGUGAAAGAAGGUGAAGUCGAGUCUGGCUAAAAGGCAGAGAGAGAGUGUUGAAACUUAGAUCUUGAUGAUGAAAUAUAACUUUUAUAAUAAGUUUAGUCAUUAUACUUAGUCAUACCCAGUUAAGGAAAAUAGUCAUAUUAAAUUAGUAUAGGUUCCAAAAGGAACCAUAAGUAAUUUAAAAUCAAAAGAUAAAAGAUGAUAUUUUGAUAGCGGAUGACAAGAGAUCCUACAAACUUAUCAAAGACCACUAGUUGAAAUGGAUGAUAUAUUACAUUCAGAGAUAAUAAUAAUGAAAAAAUCAUUAGUAUCGAAAAUAUUAGUAACAAAUUAAUUCUUUUGAAUAAAGAUGUAUUUUUGGUAGAUGAUUUGAAAUAUAAUUUAAUAAGCAUUAGCCAACUUUAUAACAAAAAAAAAUAUAAAGUUAAAUUUGAAUCUCAUACUUGCAUUAUAGACAUACUAAAUAAGAAUAGAUAAAAAUAGAUAUUUGAUUAUUUUAGGAAAUGAUAAUAUUUAUACUAUUAAUAUUGAUAACUUUCAUGAUAUUGUUAGGAUCAAGUCGGUACUAGGGAGGGGGGGGGGGAUUAAUUAGUGCUUAUGUAAACACGUUAGUUCGAAAACUUCGUUCGAUGAAAUCGUAUUGGAAAGACGUUUAAACUUAAAACAUUUGCAAGAGUAGUAAUUAGCAGGUAAAGCAAUUGCAAAAUGAGUAAACAAGUAGAGAAAGGGAGGCACACUAAUUUUAUAGUGGUUCGAUCAUCGUGACAUAUAUCCACUCUCAAUUCCCCUUCAUUCGAGGCCACCGGCGUCCACUAUCGAUCUUCCUUCAAUGGGUAAAGACUAACCACCCUUUUACACCUAUUUUUUUCUUUUCAUAGGUUUAGGAGAUAACCUUUAUAACCACUCACCCCUCUCUUAAACUUCACCCAACACUUAGAGCUUAAGAGGAGUUCUCACAAUAUUACAAUAACGUUUUCCUUCCUUUUUUUGCUCUCAAUUGAUAUGUCUGUUAGGAUUGAGUCGGCAAUAAGAGGGGGGACGAUAAAAAUCAUAUCAAGUCGGAAAUCUCAUUCGAUAAAAUCAUUUCGAUAAAACCCGUAUAGGAAAUAUGUUUAACUUGAAAGCAUACAUAAGUAUAGUGAAAGUAAAAUAGUUUGCAAUGAAAGUAAAAAGUAAAAUAGAAAUUCAAACCAAAUUUUUAUAGUGGUUCGGUCGUCGUGAUCUACAUCCACUCUCAAUUCCUCUUCACUCGAGGCCACCAGCUUCCACUGCCGAUCUUCCUUCAAUGGGCAAAGAUCAACUACCCGUUUACACUCUUUCUCCUUUUCAUAGGUUUAGAAACAACCCUUAUAAGCCUCUCUUUCUUAGACCUUACUUCUCCCUUCAAACAAACUUCUAAAUACUAGGAAGAAGUGAUCCUAAAUCCUAAGAGAGUUUUCUAUUUUUUUUCAUGUUUUCUUUCCCCCUUUUUCAACUCAAUUUUGUGCUCAAUUCUUGCUACUCUAUGUAGGAAUAACUGGAGUAUUUAUAGAUCCCAAAUGACUUCAAAAUUAGAGCCAAAAAAGGUCUCAUCUUGGGUUUCCUAGGUCCUAUUGGUACCAUCACUUGUGCUGGGUGGUACCGUCGUGUGCAGCCCUGAAAUUGGGCAGUACCAUUGCCUAGUCUGGCGGUAAUAUUGCUUGACACAGUCUUGGAGACUAUGUCUCAGAGUCUGAGCCUUUGGCGGUGCCACCACCUGAUCCAACUUUUGGGUCACGGAAUAGGCCUUUCUAUUGGCCCAAAACAACCCUAAUUGAGGCCCAAUUCGCCCCUAAUCGAGUUGGCCUAAUUUCAUUCUAAAUCAACUCAAUUAGAACUAAAACUAUUUUGAUCUAGAUAAUUAUUACAAAGCAUUAACUAUAUGUUGUCCGACAUGUCAUUGGUUCAUUGGCGCUUUGUCCAAUUCUUCGAUGCAUCGUCCUCUUUUGCAGCCUUUGCCCAAUCGGUAUAUUGGCCUCCAUAAAUCCGAUCUCCUUAGCGCAAUGUUCGCUCUUAUAGGCCCAAUACCCAAACUCAUGGAAUGAAGCUUUUGCCGACAUGUCGACCGAUCCUCCGACUCUGAUACCAACGGUUAGGAUUGAGUCAGCACUAAGAGGUGAAUUAGUGCAGCGGUAAAAAUCACAUCGAGUCAGAAAUCUCGUUCAAUAAAAUAAUUUCAACAAAGCCCAUAUAGGAAAUAUAUUUAACUUGAAAGCGUACAGAAGUGUAGUGAAAGUAAAGCAGAUUGCAAUGAAAGUAAAGAGCAAAAUAGAAGUGCAAACUAGAUUUUUAUAGUAGUUUGUUCGUCGUGACCUACAUCCACUCUCGAUUCCUCUUCACUCGAGGCGCUGGCUUCCACUACCAAUCUUCCUUCAAUGGGUGAAGAUCAACUACCCUUUUACACUCUUUCUCCUUUUCACGGGUUUAGAAGACAACCCACCCUUACAAGCCUCUCUUUCUUAGACCUCACUUCUCCCUUUAUAUGAACUUCUAAAUACUAGGAAGAAGUGAUCCUAAAUCCUAAGAGAGUUUUCCAAUUUUUUUUUAAAGUUUUCUUUCCUCCUUUUUAAACUCAAUUUCAUGCUUAAUUCUUGCUACUCCAUGCAAGAAUAGCUAGGGUAUUUAUAGACCCCAAACGACAUCAAAAUUGGAGCCAAAAAAGGUCUUAUCCUAGGUUUUUUGGGUCCUGGCGAUAUCAUCGCUUGUGCUAGGCGGUACCACCGCUUGCAACAUGGACACUGGACAGUACCAUCGCCUAGUUUGGCGACGAAGUCUAAAUAGAUGAAUUAUUCAUCACAAGAGUGAUAUAAUAAAAAAAUUGGGGUCAAUUGAAUUUUAUGCAUAAGGCUAUAUUAUUUUAAAACUACCCAUGCAAAAAGAAAUCUCCAUUGUAUAUAGCAACCUAGUCGGUAAUAAUGUGUGAUCUCAUACAAUUUAUAAACUAUGUUUGUUAUAUCCAUAAAGUAAAUACUUUAUAAGAAUACAAUCAUCUUUUAAUAUGAUAAUUAUAUUUUAUAUAACACUAUCAAGAUUAUGGUUUGGUAGAUUAAAAAAUCAUAUUUCAUAUCUUUCAAGUGCCUAAAUAUAACUAAUAAAGGAAUUAGCAUUUACUUUAUAAAUUAGUAAGUAAUUCCUUAGUCAUUUAAUAAGUUAUGCUCUUUUUGAGAUGAAGUAUACCAAGCAUGGUGCUAAACUCUCCAUGCGUAAAAUUCUUAUUCUUGUAAUAUGUGAAAAUCUAAACAUGGAGUGAAAAUUAUCACUAUUACAAUUUAUGAUUUGAAUAAUAUCGUGUUCACUUUGUCUAGGAAUAGAGUUGAUGAUCCUCUUUAUGCAAGUUAAAAGUAUUAAAUAUGGAUGAAUUAAUUAUUAAAUUGACUUGUUCGUGUCCUUUGUUGAUUAUUUUAUAUUAAAAGAAUAAAAUUUUAUAAUAAACAUCUAUUAUCUUAUAAUAAUUUAAAUCAAAAUACUAUGUUAUCAUUAUUGUAUUUAUGGUUUGCAAACCUGAAAAUAUUUGUAAUUAUUUAUCUUUACUUUUACGUUAAUUCUUUUACUCGUAUCCUAAAAAAGAUAAAUUUUAAUAAUGGAUUAUUAAAAGGAGUAGACUAAAAAGUCAAGCAUAUUAAAACUCUAAUAUGUCACAAUUGCAUAUAAAUUUUAUAAAAGUUUAGUUUUGACUACUCUAAGAUUAUAACCACUUAAAGUUCAGGAUAAUUAUAUUUUAAUGGUCCAAUACAAGUUUAUCAUGUGCAACUAAUAUGGUAUUGACAUUUUCUUUUAAUAGGAAUGUUUCAACUCAUUACCAACUAGUGACUUGAAAUUAAAAAUUUUUCAUUCAACUAUCAAGUUGGUUAUUCAUCAUCAAAAUAUAAGAGCUAAGAUUAUUAUUAUAUUUUAAUGGAGUGAGGAUUUUGUGUGUUGGUCUACUUUUGUGGUGGAACUUGGAACUAGGACAAAUAGGUCUAAUGGAUUGGAUUCCCAUGUAUCAUUUGGGAAUUACGGCAUAGUGGCAUAGUACAUCCGUAGUCGAUGAGUCGAGUGAAUUAUUAUGGAAAUAAUAAUUCACUGAGCUAAAAGGAGUUCUAAUAGGUAUGACUCAUGGUCAGCUCGAUAUUGGGCCUAGAGGGUCAUACAUAUAUGGUAGGCAAUGCGAUAAGUAGAUGUUCGGAUAUGAGAUAUUCGUCGAAGCUCCUAUCUUAUUGGAUAUCCAAUAAGCCCAUGAAUUAUUGGAGGUCAUUGACGAGAUCUAAUAAGAGUCCAUGAGAGAUUAUUGGAUAAAGAUCCACUAAUCUAAGAGGCUUGGGUAGUUGGAUGGAUAUCCAAUACCCAAUAAGGGAGGAUCCAUUAGGGUUAAGUAGAUAUAGGACCUCUAUAAAUAGGAGGGAUUCAGUGGUUCAUAGGCUAAAGCCUUUUGCUUGCUUCUUCUAUUCUCCUCCCCCUCUUCACCUCAAAGCAGACUAGAGUUUUGAGGAGUGUCGUGACAACCCUACUGUGUGGAACACCACUAGAGAGGAGGACGCUUGACCUCCUUCACCCUCUCCUAGAGAUUCACGGAUUCAGGGAUAUACAAUCUCCCUAGGUAAAACAAUCUAUCUCACAUGUAGUUUUCUGUUUUGCAGAUUUUACGAACCAAUCUUCGCAUAACGACGAACAUAUAUUUGGGAAUUAGGGAUUUUGUUUUAUGUUCUUCCGCUGCACAUGUGAUGUCUCCCCCAAGAUUUCCCAACAUGAGUAACACUUGAUUAUUCAUAGAAAAAAUAAAUUUUGUAUUCUUCGACGCAUCGUCCUCUUUUAUAGCCUUUUGCCUAAUUGACAUGUUGACCUCCGCAACUCCGAUCUCCUUGGCACAAUGUUCGCUCUUCUCGGCCCGAUGCCCAAACUCAUGACACGAAGCAUCAUGUCGAUACGUCGAUCGAUCCUCUAGCUCGACGUCCAAUCUUCUCACAUGCUCCACUCUGGCCCAAUAUUGAUUCUUCUUACUUUAAUUGUCUUUUCUAAUCGAAGCUAGUCUUGCGUCACUCAAAAUAAAGAUUAGAUCACAAACACAUCAAUUGGUUUCAUCAUCAAAAUUCGAGAUUCAAUAGUAUCUACUAAGCAUGGAUGAUUGGGGAUUUUAUAGGUCCCAAAUAGAUUCAAAAUUGGAGACUAAACGAUCUCAUCCUGGGUUUCAGGCUACUAACGAUACCACCGCCCAUUCUGGCGGUACCAUCGCCUGAUAGAACCUCAAAGAUUGGGCUGUGGUGGUGCCACUGCCUAAUAGGAUGGUACCACCACUUGACAAGAUGAAUUGGGCCAUCCAGCCAACCCAAUUCAAACCUAAUUGAGGCCCAAUGGCUCCCUAAUUCAGUUGGCCUAAUUUCAACCCAAUUACAACUUAAAACUAUUUCAAUCUAGACAAUUAUUACAAAAUAUUAAUCACAUGUUUUUCGGCAUGUCAUUGGUUCAUUGGUGCUUCGUCCAAUCCUUCGACGUAUUGUCCUCUUUUGCGGCAUUUUGCCUAAUCGGCAUGUUGACCUCCACAACUCUGAUCUCCUUGGCGCAAUGUCUGCUUUUCUAGGCCUGAUGCCUGAACUCAUGGCACGAAGCCUUCCAUCGAUAUGUCGACCGAUCUUCAGGCUCAAUAUCCAAUCUUCUAACAUGUUCCACUCCGACCAAACAUUGAUUCUUCCUAUUUUAAUUAUCUCUUCAUGAUCGAAGCUAGUCCUGUGUCACUCAAAAUACAGAUUAGAUCAUAACUUUAUUAAUUAGUUUCAUCAUCAAAAUCUGAGAUUUAAUAAUCUCCCCCUUUUUGAUGAUGACAACCAAUUGAUGACGGAGUUCAACUAAACCCCCCCUAUCAAUAUGACAUUAAUUUUAAUCAUUAAUUAUAUAAUACAUUAUAUUAUUACUUACAUCAUAAGUUCAAGUAUUGCAUCCAAACCAUCAUACAUAAUAAAAUUUCAUUUUACCAUGCAUGAUUAUCAUCAUACCUUCUNNNNNNNNNNNNNNNNNNNNAUAUUAUUACUUACAUCAUAAGUUCAAGUAUUGCAUCCAAACCAUCAUACAUAAUAAAAUUUCAUUUUACCAUGCAUGAUUAUCAUCAUACCUUCUCCCCCUUUGUCAUCAACAAAAAGGAGAAGUGCAACUAGCAAAUUUUUGAGAUGUGCAAGUUAUUUUUGUAUCUUUUGAGAUGAGCAAGAUGACAUGUUUUUGCAUCUACUUGAAAUGUGCAAGCUAGCACUUCUCUUUAGAUAUGCAAGCACUUUUGGUUCUUCUUGAGAUGUGCGAGCUAGAAUUUUUGUGUUUCUUGAAAUGCAGCAAUUUUUUCUCCUUGCAAUUUGUAAGCUAGCAAAUUUAGCAAGUUUUACAUCAUUUUAAAAUAUGCAAGCUAGCAAAUUUUAUAUCAUUUUAGAGCAUGCAAGCUAGCAAAUUUUACUCCCUCUUUGUCAUUGUCAAAUGGAAGGGAAGAAUACAAUGUUGUAAUUCUUUUCCCUUUACUUUAAUCUUCAAAUUAUGACAAAGAUAAAUAACAAAGAUGAAUUUAUAUCAAUAUUUUAAUCAUAAAAAAAAAUCAAGUUAUGAAUGUCAAAAUACCAUAUAUUAUUUUUGAUAAAUUUCUUCUUUUGUAAAUAGAAAGAAUGAUAGGAAACGAUCUUGAUUCAAAAAGAAGACUCAAGUCAUAAAAAUCAAGAAAUCAAGAUCAGGAUCUGAAAAAUGUAUAAAAAGAGUUUACGCAUUUAUGAGAUUUAACAAUUUGCCUAAAUUUAACAUUAAAACUAGCAAUUUUGGUUCUCUUGAUAUGCUAGCAAUUUUCUUUCUCCCCUCAUCGUAAACAAGGAAGAAGUAGAGUGGAAGAAUAUAAUGGUAUAAUUUUUUUACAUCAAAGCUCUAUUUAUAACAUAAGGUUUACAACCACAAAUAAAAAGAAAUUAUAUAUAAUAAAAAUCAUGUCAUGAAAAAUAAUAUCAAAGAUCAUGUGAAUAUCAAAAGACAUGAUUCAUUUUGAUAAAUCUCAUCUUAAAUAAUACGAGAACACAUAAUAGGAGAUCUUGAUUCAUAAAAGAUUUCAAGUUAUAAUUCUGAGGAAUCAAAAUCAUGAUAUAGGUAAAAACUCAUUCAAAUUCAAAUAUUCAAAAUCAUCAAAAUCACUUUCAAGAGAUUCAAAAUGACAAAUAGAUUCAUUAAUCUCUUAUUGAAAACUCGAUAAGAUCUUAGAUAUAAAGACAUUUUCAAGAAUAAUACAUUCCAUUUUUUAUAUGUUUCAAUUUAUGUGAUUUAUUUCAUACAAAGAUGCCUUUGUCUUUUAUGUCAAAUAAAAACAUGCAUCAUCGUUUAAAACUGAAAAAUAAAAAAUCAUCACAAAAAUCAUCAAGAUCAAAAGUGUAACUCAUAAUUCUAAAACAUAAGAUUUCAAAUCAUCAUUACUUCAAAUCCUCAUAUAUAAUAUAAAAUCUUCAAGCAUGAUUUCAUUAAACAUAAAGCAUUUUCAAUCAAAAUCAUUUUGUUUGUUGUAGUAAUGCUUUUUUCUUCUUAAGUGAAUCUAACUCUUCAUGCUUAGUGCUAGGAGUUAAUAUGCAAUUAUCAUGCUCAAAUUUUUAAUUUUUCAAAAUCACUAGAAAGAGAAGCAUGAUCCCCUUUUAAUUUUUUUUACUAUUUUAUAUACUAAUUUAAAAAUAACUUAUAAAAUACAUCAAGUAAUUUCAUAGUAAGGUAAAAAGGUUUCAAAUGAGUCAUUUACCUCAUCAUCGAGAGCCACCAAGGUAUAGUUCACUACUUUGUCUUUGUUGGUUUGCUCCUCGUCUUUGGAGGUACUCGAUUUGUCCCAAGUCGCCUUAAGUGUCUUCUUCUUUAGUAACCUCAUUUUUUUAAGUUUAUUUUUAAUUUUUAAUUUUUGCUUUAUGAACUUUUCAAACUUUGUUGUUAGGAGAUCAAGUUCAUCAUCACUUGAGUUUUUGCUCGAGUGGUCUUCUUUUGUUCUAAGUGAAAAAUCCUUCCUAUUCUUUGGAAGGUUGUUCUCAAAUUCGUCAUGUGCUACGUAAGUCAUUUCUUAGAUCAUUAAAGUCCCAAAAAGUUCUUCAAGUGGAAACUUGUUUAAGUCUUUUGCCUCUUGUAUUGCAAUUACUUUCGAAUCCCAAUUUUUAGAAAGAGAUCGUAAAACUUUAGUAACAAGUUCAAGAUUCGAAAAACAUUUGCUAAGAGCUUUUAAACCAUUGACAACAUUCGUAAAACGGGUAUACAUAUCUCCAAUAGUUUCGCUUGGUUUCAUAUAAAACAACUCAAAAUCAUGCAUCAAAAGAUUUAUCAUAGAAUCUUUAACUCUACUAGUGCCUUUGUGUGUGAUUUGAAGAGUGUGCCAAAUAUUAUGUGUAAGCUUCGCAAAUAGAAAUCCGAUUAAAUUUAUUUUUAUCUAGAGCACAAAACAAAGUGUUCAUCGCUUUAGCAUUCAAAGAAAAAGUUUUCUUUUCUAAAUUAUUUCUUUUGUUCAUUGGAUUAGAAGAUUUUUCAAAACCACAUUCGAUAAUAUUCCAUAAAUCAAAGUUCAAAGAUAGUAAGAAAACUCUCAUCUGAGUUUUCCAAUAAAUGUAGUCCAUCCCAUUGAACGUAGGAUGACGAAUAAUAGAGUAACCCUCUUGAAAUAUGAUAAAAGCUAUUUCUAUUGGGUGUUAAACCAAAUGAGAAAAAUUAGCUCAAAUACCAAUUGUUAGAAUCAAGUCGGCACUAAGGGGAGGGGGGGGGGGGGGAAUUAUUGCUCACAUAAAACUGUCGGUUUGAAAACUUCAUUUGAUGAAAUCAUAUCGGAAAGACAUUUAAACUUAAAACAUUUACAAGAGUAGUAAUGAGCAGGUAAAGUAGUUGUAAAAUAAGUAAACAAGUAGAGAAAGGGAAGCACACCAAUUUUAUAGUGGUUCGAUCGUCGUGACCUACAUCCACUCCCGAUUCCUCUUCACUCGAGGCCAUCGAUGUCUACUAUCGGUCUUCCUUCAAUAGGCGAAGACCAACCAUCCUUUUACACCCAUUUUUUCCUUUUUACAGGUUUAGGAGAUAACCCUUACAAUCACUCAUCCAUCUCUUAAACUUCACCCAACACUUAGAGCUUGAGAGGAGUUCUCAUAAUAUUGCAACAGUGUUUUCCUUCCUUUUUUGCUCUUAGUUGAUGUAUCUACUAAGUAGGGAUGAGUGGGGUUUUAUAGGCCCUAAAUGGAUUCAAAUUUGGAGCUUAAAUGAUCUCAUCCUGGGUUUUCGGGGGUACUAGUGGUACCACCGCUAAUACUAGGAGGUACCACCACCUGACACUCUAACACUAGGCGAUACCACCGCCUAGUCUAGCGAUACCACUACCUGACAGAGUCUCAGAGACUGGGCUCUAGCGGUACCACUGCCUAACAGGGUGGUACCACCGUUCAGAUCUCUUGGGAGGCUGAGCUUUAAGCGGUUCUACGGCCUACCCUAGGCAGUGCCACCGCUUGGCACGGCUCUAAGUGGCCAAGUGGGCCAUCCAUCAAGCCCAACUUAGCCCUAACUUAGUUCCAAUGGCCCCCUAAUUGAGUUGGCCUAAUUCUAAUCCAAUUAUAACUUAAAACUAUUUCGAUUUAGAUAAUUAUUACAAAGUAUUAAUCACAUAUUUUUCGGCAUGUCAUUGGUUCAUUGGUGCUUUAUCCAAUUCUUCGACGCAUUGUCCAAUUUUGUGGCCUUUUGCCCAAUCGAUAUAUUGACCUCCGCAACUUCAAUCUCCUUGAUGCAAUGUCCGUUCUUCUAGACCCAAUGCCUGAACUCAUGGCUUGAAGCCUUCUGCUGAUAUGUCGAUCAAUCCUUUGGCUCAAUGUCCAAUCUUCUAAAAUAUUUUACUCUGGCCAAACAUUGAUUCUUCUUACUUUAAUUGUCUCUUCAUGAUCGAAACUAAUCCUCCGUCACUCAAAAUGUAGAUUAGAUCAUAACUUUAUCAAUUAGUUUAAUCAUCAAAAUAUGAGAUUCAACAUAUAUAUAACUUAUUUUUCCACCUUUGUAGGUGUACUUUGCCCUAAGCUUACUUAUCUAUAGUUCUGUUGUUGACUUUCAUGAUAUAACAAGUCAAGAUCAUUUAAACAAAAGUGAAACCCGACCUAUAAAACCAAAAUGUACAUUUGCCCUAAGCUUACUUAUCUAUAGGUCUGCCGUUGGCUUCCUUUUCUAUGGUACUAGUGCCUUCCUCGAGCAGGGACAUAAGAUCAUCGUUGAAGUCCACAUUCAUGUCAGUUUGAAUGUUUGCAUCCUUAAGCAGCUUAGUAAAUGGGUGCUCCUUGACUUGCAAGUUUGAGUACCUGGCCGUCCUCAAAGGGAGAGGCAAAAGACCGACUCCAUCAUCGAAGCCAACCAUAAUGACUUUGGUUGCUAUCUUCGAGGUCAAUGCCUCCUUGACUUGCGCUAUGUCCAAAUCAACCACUCGAGUUUAUAAGACGUUGAUUUGACCUUAAAGCUUCAAUAAAUCAUCCUCCAUUUGACAAAUUAUGCUCCUAAAUCAUCUUCAAGAUGUUUGCUUGAUUGACAUUAUUUUGUUAUAGAGAAGCGAUGUGCUCCUACACCAAGGAGAUGUUAGGAUCGUUUCGGUACUAAGAGGGGGGGGGAGGGAUGAAUUAGUGCUUUCAUAAAAUUACGUCGACUUUAGAAAACUUUCAUUCGAUAAAAAAUUGUAUCAGAAAUGUACUUGAUUUAGAGUAAGUGAACUAAGCAAUUAACUUAGAAAGUAAUAGCAGUAAAUAAUAAAUAGAAAUACAAACCGAGUUUAUAGUGGUUCGGUCGUCGUGUCCUACGUCCACUCCAGAUUCCUUUUCACUCGAGGCCAUUGCCUUCCACUACCGAUCUUCUUUCUAAUAGGUGAAGAUCAACUACUCUUAUAACUCUUUCUCCUUUUGACAGGCUCAGGAGAGAAUAUUUACACCCCUCUUUUACAAGAUAUCCCUUAUACACCUCCUUUAGAACAACCUCUAAGUUUAAGGAGGAGGGACUCAACUUUCCCACAUAGUUUUCACAUUCUAUACCCCAAGUUUUCGUUUUCUUUUCUUGCUUUGUCAAAUAGAAAAUAUUGAGGUAUUUAUAUGCCCCAAAUGGAUUCAAAUUUAGAGUCAAAAUGAUCUCAUUCUCGGUUUUUGGGUACUGACAGUACCACCGCCUACUAGAUUAACAACUGGUGGUACUACCACCUGUCAAUUUGACACUAGGUGAUACCACUACCUAGUCUGACACUAAUACUAUGUGGUACCACCACCCAGUCUGGGUGGUACUAUCGCCCAAUUAGUCCUUGGGAGACUAAGAUUCUAGCAGUUCCACCAUUAGACCUGGUGGUGCCACUACUAGACCCUAUUAUAUGUCACUCAAUGGGUUAAACAAUAGGCCCAAUUCAGCCUUGAUUCAGGCCCAAUUGGCCCCUAAUUAAGUUGAUAUAAUUACACCUAAAAUCAACUCAAUUAGAUCUAACUAACUCAAUUUAGACACACAUGAUUAUAAGUAUGAAUCUUAUAUUAUCCGGUAUGUUAUUAGUUCAUUCGAUGAUUAAUCUAAUCCUUCGGUGCAUCGUCAUCUCCUUCGGCGUAUUGCCAAAUCAGCAUGUUGACCUCCUACAACUUUCGAUCUCCUUGGUGCAAUGUCCGAUUCUUUGGCCCAAUGCCCGAACUCACGACACGAAGUCCUUAUGGUACGUCGACUAUUCCUCUGGCCAGAUGUCCAAUCUUCUGAUACGUUCUACUUCAACCUAAUGUUUGAUUCUUCCUGCUUUAAUUGAAUUACCUUUCCUAGAUCGAGGUUAGUCUUGUGUCACUCAAACACAUAUUAGAUCAUAACUUCAUCAAUUGAUUUUAUUAUUAAAAUUUAAGAUUUAACAAGAGACCUACAACUCAACCAUCUCCUCAUUCUGGUAGGAGAUGAUGCUUAAGUUAUGGACUUGGCUAAUAAAUAGUAGUUUUAUUAUGCAAGGACAAUUCAUCAGUGAGCUAAAAAAAGAAAAUUGAUGUGAGACCGUAAAAGUGGACACAACUUACAUUAUGGCUUACUUAGUUACCUCUUUAAUCAUUACUUGGAUAUUAUCUAUACCUCCUUAGCUAGUAAGGGGAUGAGAGUUUCCUGGAGGUAGCAGCUUGCUAACCUUCCAUCCUCAAAUAGCAUGACGACGAUCUUAAAGUCCCACCUCACCUCUCGUGACUCUUAGGAUAUUGAAUAUCGUGGUGAAAUUGAGAUAUAGGGGAAUAGAACAAUUGAUCAAAGGAUCAAACAAAAUACUAAAAGUUUAGACAAUAUGGUAGAACCGGAUAACAUAUCGAAAGUUUUGACGAUGUGUCAGAAGAGUGAUUGAUAUUUCUAACCUAAUUCCAAGUCAAAUUUGGGUGCAUUUUGGGGUUCAAUUAGGCUAAAUCUAAGUUUAAGACUAAAUUGGAUCAAAGUGACCUAGUCGGUCAGCUAUAUUAUGCCCUUAAAGGGUGGUACUACUUAGUCCUAGUAGUGGUGCUACCCAACUCAAUCGAUGACAUUGCCUGAGUGUAUGGAUAGUGCAGUUGAUACUAUUUCAGCAAUUUGAUAGUAGUACCACUAGUAUCCCUCUAUUAGGAUACAUUUUCUUGAUGCACUUGAUGAUUUGGAGGUGCUUGGGCUCUUUAUAAAUAACUCACUAGGUUUGUGAGUUAAUUAUUUUGAAGGAUUCUUUAGCUUUAAGUUUGAAGUUUAUGAUAUGAGAAGUUAUUUCUUGUAUUGUAAGAGUUAUUCUUUAUUGAGAGAGGAGAGUAUUUGAAGUGUAAGAUUUAUUUCUAAGUCUUAAAAAGAAGAAAAUUAUAAAAGAUAAUUAAUCUUCACCUAUUGGAAGCAUGUUAUAAGUAUUAGAAAAGAAGGAUUGAAAGUGGAUGAUGAUAAGGACAACCGAGCUAAUUUAUUUUUCUUUCUUACUUAUGUCUAUUUACUUAUUUAAACUAAAUUUCAUAUACCUAUGUCUUUAGUUAGAUUGAAAUAUUAAAGUUUUAAAGUAUACACAAACACUAAUUCACUCCUUUUUAGAUAGUUAAAUACUUCAUUCCAAACAUAAUAUUGAAAUUAUUCCUUUGCAAUUGAAUCAAAUCAAGAUGAUUUCGGUAGACAUCAAUAAUAAAUACCAAACAUAAAUAUGUGUAAUAAUCACUUUCAGACUAAUUGAUAUUCAAAAUAACAUUCAACAUACAAAGUAUAAGUAUAUGAAUCAAAUUAUCUUCUAAAUAAAAUGUUAUAAAUGAGUAGACGCUGAAAAUAUUUGUUGUAGUUGUAUUGUAUAAAUUUUUUCUCUCGUAGACAUAUAUGAUUAUUAAAGAUAUAUUUCCUUUUCAUUUCAGUUAACAGAUAGGAACGUUGACGACCAGCGGCGUCUGGUGAGAGAAAGGCCCAACAAAUCCCCUUCUGAUAUCCAAAUCAGGCUAUGAAGCACUCGUCGUGAUGGGAUAAUAUUCAUUUGGGACGCGUCAUUCCCACCAAAUUGACGCAAACACUUACCUCUGUGGGCAGCAAGGUGGGGCCCUCCUCGCUUCCCAUCUGUGGGCGGCUGUUUCGACGGUUGCGUGGGUUUGUGUGUAUUUUGUGUCGAUAUUAUGCCGCGCUUCUCACGCGACGCACCGCCGCCCGACGUCCCUCCCGUGUCAAUUAGUCAACGCGUUGUUUUGUCUUAUCUCUCUAGAAAUAGUCGAUGAGGUACUUGCGAUGAUAUCUCUACCUCCGUCUGCCGUCAUCGUCUUCAUCUUCCUCCACUGCUCCUCUCCGAGAAGCUUCCCCCACCGUGAAUGAUCCAGCUGCCUCUCGCUCUUUCCCAACCAGCCGACACCAACAAUAAAAUACUUUUCCCCCUCCCUCUAUUUAUAGUCACUGAUAUCCCAAGUAGAGAUGCAUGUCAGCCAAUCCCACGAGAUCGAAAACCAACAGCUACUAGUGUUGAUACAGCUUUCUUAUCCCAUCUCUACCAUCCACAGUGAUAGAUCAUCAAAGAUAAGUUCCCCUUCCGACUUGUAAAGCAAUCCUAUCAAGUGAUGUCACAGUUGAUUCUCGUCAAUCCAACGGAGGAGGCCGCUGCAGCAGCUACUUCGACCAUCUCUUCCACCUUCGCACAUCCAAACAAAAGCAGCAGUAAGAAUCGCCCAAUCCUUUGUAGACUUUGGUGCAUGCUGUCACCCAAUAAGCAGCACGACAAAGGCGCAGCAGCAGAAGCGGAAAUCUAUGAGCCACCUCGUCACACCCUGACGUUGUCGGAAGGAGCCAGACCGCCUCCCGAGCUGGAACGAGUCUUCGACUACUUGGACGAGAACGGCGACGGAAAGAUCUCCCCCGCCGAGCUGCACAAAUGCAUGAGGGCCGCAGGGGAGGAGAUAUCACCUGAGGACGCCCGGUCCGCGGUGGAGUCGAGCGACUCCGACGGCGAUGGGUUGCUGGGAAUGGAGGAUUUUGUGAAGCUGGUGGAGGCGGAGGGGGACGAGGAGAAGGGGAGGAACCUGAGGGAUGCCUUCGGGAUGUAUGCAACGGAAGGGCAGGGGUGCAUCACCCCCUCGAGCCUCCGUCGAAUGCUCAAACGCCUCGGCGAGUCGAGGUCCGUCGACGAGUGCGCCAGGAUGAUUCAAAC
rnacentral:lncRNA from 1 species